AGGCCUUCGGGGUGAUGAAAACAAUUUUGUUAUGGUGGCAACACAUGUAUAUCAUCAGCAUAAAGGCCAUGCUCUGAGCAUGCACUAAAGUUAGCAGUUGUGGUACUUCCGUUAUGUAGGAAGAAAAGCAUCGUUCUAUUUUUCACAAUGAGCGUUAUUCAAAAAGUAAAUAAUGUUUGAGUUUGUAAGAAAAACACAAUCUGAGCAUUCCGAGACUCUCAACAUUGCUGAACAUUAGAACAUAUAAAAUGAAGCGAUACAUAGCACUAGUGUGCGCCUGACGUAACAAGCUGACACGUACCCGGAAGGAGAGAACGGCGACCAACAAAGAAUCUUGAAUCUUGAAUCAUGAACAGUAAAACAGAAAAAGUUAAAAAUUCAUCGGCUGAAAUGACUACACCGGUGCAAGUAUUUGGUGAAGCACACAUUUCUAUCGAGUGCGUAGACAAUGCUGAUGGAUUUCCUGGUGUCAUUGUCGAUGACGAUGCAACAUUCAUUUCUUUUCAAGAAAAUGCCACCGAGCAGACCGCUUCCGAUGACGGACAAGGCCCUUACAGUUCGGUGCGACCUUUCCAAUUUGCCCGUUAUGAGUACGAGGACGCUGCCAAGGACAGAGAUCAUCCGGAGACUGUCGGGAAUCCACUACCCAGUCCUGAGGAGGAGGAGGAGGAGGAGGAGGAGGAGGAGGAGGAUGACUGCAGCCGUCUACAGCCAUCAGACAUCAACAUACCCGACAUGGCACUGAUCAUCUUGUGCAUUGUUCUCUUGUUCAUUGCUCUUUAUAUUUUAGCUGUUAUCCUUUAUCCUACAUUUUAGAUGACUUUUUCUCAUCACAUGAUGCAUUAUUGGAAGAUUACAGUCAGUGAAGCUUAAGUUAAAACUCUACCCUGAACUACACUAAAAGUUGACCUUUCCUGAUGAGGCUACCUUUUUGUCCAUCCAUCCAUUUUCUCCCGCUACAUUUUUGUCUAAAUAAGCAAUCUGAAAGAACCUAUUUAAUACCUAUAUAAUAACAUUUGCUUGCCUUUAUUUCACGGGGGGUGAACCGCUCUAACGCCACAUGGUAAGAUAUGUGCAGCCACAAAUGAUCUAUUGGACCUAUUUACAUUUCCUCUGGAUUAAUUAUGACCAGAUUUGACUGACCUGUAAGUGCCUGUGCAAAACUACAUUCAUUAAAGUGACAGCUGAUCAGCCUUCAUGCCUGAGCACUUAAUCAAUGUUUCAGAAAGAUAACAGUCAGACUACAGUACGUGCAACUUAUAUGCAACAAUUCAGAGCAGUGAACAGCAAAACAGCUGCUUGGUUAGGCCACAGUUGAACAUGGUUUGCAGUUCAAGUCAGGGGAUGAAUUGAUGAGAUUAUAUUGAUACCAAUGCUACUGUUGAUUCUGUUUCGCUUUUAUUUAUUCCUGAUCAAUCAUCUGUAUGCAAGAAAAAGUACAAAAUAACUUUUCAGCUUCAAAGCGACGUUUUCUUAUCAUCCCUGCCUGUGCGGGUUCAGCUCGCUGAGAGCUGACGAGCGAUUCAAGAUGGCUGUAGCAACAGUCUGUCAUCAUCUAAAAUGGAUAAAAUGAGUUAGUAUCACAUAGGAUAUUCACCCUCAGUAACAGACACGAUGUUCAGUGUGUGUGGAGUGUUAGAUACAUGGCAUUCCUGGAUUUUAAGCCCACGUUGUGUAGAAAGACAGUUCCAGCAUCGGUGAAAGGUAUUGAUGAGCAUGUGAUUCUGAUAGAUCGGACAAUCUGGAACUGGUUCUGGAUCCCCAUCCCUGAUAUCUGUAUCACAGCAACUGAAAUUAACACUUCCGCAAUAGUCUGAGUCAAUCCUCCAGCUCAUGUCUUGGCAGUCUUACAGUUUUUAGAUUCAGUUUGAACCAAAUCAAGGAAAAGUUGAGUUACAUUAGCUUUCACUAGCUUUGAAAAGUUUAAGUGAACACACAAAGCUUUUGCCUCCAGUUCUCCAGCUCAAGGUCAGGGUGGACAAAGAACGGACUUCAAUGCAGGAGCCUGCAACCGAAAUCCUGUAUCCUGUAAUCAAGUCGUAGCAAAAGUUUUGUGCAAGGUCAGGAUUUUCUUAGAGAACUGAAACAGACUGAAUUGCUGAUCGGUGGGAUUCUAGUAGGAAAAUCAAAAGAAUUACGCAAGUACAUGUCACAAUGUCCAUCACAUUCAGAUAUAAGGCCACUGCUCAGGGGGUGAACACGCUCACACGUUGUGUAUCAGGCUGUGGAAUUCAGGCCACCAAGGAUAGACUUCAGUUUUCUGUAAUGUCUGUGGACCACAGCAGAGCAACAAGAAAAGGAGGGAAAGUGUGAUCACCGUUCUGUACAUGGAUCUCAGGAAAAGAGAUUUCCGUCGAGUGUGUGGACAAUGCUCUGGGAAUUCCUGGCGUUAUUGUCUAUGACGACGUGACGUUCCCCAUCUCCUCUCAGCAAGAUGAGGAAAUCGCCAUGGACUGCGAUCCUCCGCUGACUGAGGGCGUUUCAAAUGACAGCAGUAAAGCACCGCCUGGAUCCUCCACCGAUGAUGAUGAAGUCUCCCAGGAAGUAGACUUGUAGUUCGAGGAAAACGACAGUCCUGAAGGGGAGGACGAUGCAGAUUUACUGAAGACACCUCCAUUUUCCGGACACUUUGUUUUAGAAUUACAAUGUAGGAACUUAUUACAUUGCUGUGGACCACCACAUAGACAGAGGAGGUAAUGCCAGACUGAAGAUCGGAGUGGAACAAGCACAUGUUGUUCGGAUAUCUGAGGCAGAUGUGAUUAUAAAACAUAUAAAAAUGUGAACGUUGGUGUAGUGUACAGUGGGCUGUGUCCUGCUCAGUUUCUAUGAGAUUUAUUUUUGAUAAGAUUUGUUGAAGUGUCUUCAUUUUGUUUGUUUUGUCCUUUAAUCACUUUCCCUGUACUGUAAGAAAUGAGCUGCUGUUAAAGAGAAGACUUCUCUGAAUGCUGUAGCAGUGAUUAAAGUGGAACA